rnacentral:misc_RNA from 1 species
CAACCCUCAAGCCCAGCUUGGUAUUGGGUCGCGCCGCCUGGCCGACCCCAAAGACAAUGGUGGCGCCCCCCGGCCCUCAGCGUAGUACAUCUCUCGCUGUAGGGUUCCGUGGCGGUGUCGACACCCUAAACGCACAA